rnacentral:rRNA from 1 species
UACGUAGGGUGCGAGCGUUGUCCGGAAUUACUGGGCGUAAAGAGCUCGUAGGCGGCUUGUCGCGUCGACCGUGAAAACUCGCAGCUCAACUGCGAGCCUGCGGUCGAUACGGGCAGGCUAGAGUUCGGUAGGGGAGACUGGAAUUCCUGGUGUAGCGGUGAAAUGCGCAGAUAUCAGGAGGAACACCGAUGGCGAAGGCAGGUCUCUGGGCCGAUACUGACGCUGAGGAGCGAAAGCGUGGGGAGCGAACAGG